GACAGAGGCCCCAAGCGUUUAGGCGGAAUCACUGGGCUUAAAGCGUGUGUAGGCGGAUCGUUAAGUGUCUUGUGAAAUCCCACGGCUCACCCGUGGAACUGCUGGGCAUACUGGCGAUCUUGGGCCAACUAGGGGCAGUCGGAACAAGCGGUGGAGCGGUGAAAUGCGUAGAUAUCGCUUGGAACGCCGAAGGUGAAAACAGACUGCUGGGGUUGCGCCGACGCCUGAGACACGGAAAGCCAGGGGAGCAAACGGG
rnacentral:rRNA from 1 species